GGGCCCAUAGCUCAGUGGGAGNUUUGCAAGGAGGAUGCCCAGGGUUCGAAUCCCUGUGGGUCCA
rnacentral:tRNA from 1 species